CAUGGCUCAGGAUGAACGUUGGCGGCGUGCCUAACACAUGCAAGUCGAACGAUAGUAGCAAUACUAUAGUGGCGCACGGGUGAGUAACACGUAGCUUACCUCCCUCUUAGCGCGGGAUAACGACUCGAAAGAGUUGCUAAUACCGCAUAAGCUCACGGGUUCUAGAGACUUGUGAGAAAAGGCGAAAGUCACUGAGAGACGGGGCUGCGGCCCAUCAGCUAGUUGGUGUGGUAAAGGCACACCAAGGCGACGACGGGUAGGGGACCUGAGAGGGUGACCCCCCACACUGGGACUGAGACACGGCCCAGACUCCUACGGGAGGCAGCAGUGAGGAAUAUUGCACAAUGGGCGCAAGCCUGAUGCAGCGACGCCGCGUGGGUGAAGAAGGUCUUCGGAUCGUAAAG
rnacentral:rRNA from 1 species